GAGUUUGAUUAUGGCUCAGAUUGAACGCUGGCGGCAGGCUUAACACAUGCAAGUCGAACGGUAGCAGGAGAAAGCUUGCUUUCUUGCUGACGAGUGGCGGACGGGUGAGUAAUGCUUGGGAAUCUGGCUUAUGGAGGGGGAUAACUACUGGAAACGGUAGCUAAUACCGCGUAAUAUCGAGAGAUUAAAGACUGGGACCUACGGGCCAGUUGCCAUAAGAUGAGCCCAAGUGGGAUUAGGUAGUUGGUGGGGUAAAGGCCUACCAAGCCCGCGAUCUCUAGCUGGUCUGAGAGGAUGACCAGCCACACUGGAACUGAGACACGGUCCAGACUCCUACGGGAGGCAGCAGUGGGGAAUAUUGCACAAUGGGGGGAACCCUGAUGCAGCCAUGCCGCGUGAAUGAAGAAGGCCUUCGGGUUGUAAAGUUCUUUCGGUGGUGAGGAAGGUAUCAACUUUAAUAGAGUUGGUA
rnacentral:rRNA from 1 species